rnacentral:rRNA from 1 species
UACAGAGGGUGCGAGCGUUGUCCGGAAUCACUGGGCGUAAAGGGCGCGUAGGCGGCGCGGUAAGCGUGCGGUGAAAGCCCGGGGCUCAACCCCGGGUCGGCCGUGCGGACUGCCGGGCUGGAGCACUGUAGAGGCAGGUGGAAUUCCGGGUGUAGCGGUGGAAUGCGCAGAUAUCAGGAGGAACACCGAUUGCGAAGGCGCUCUGCUAGGCCGUAACUGACACUGAGGGACGAAAGCUAGGGGAGCGAAUGGG